GAGACCUGAAACCGGCGCCGGCGACGUAAUAAUGGCGAGAAAAGCUUGGUAGUCUGCGGUAACCGUCCCUGUCCAUUUGCCUACCUGGCCGGGUUUCUCUCUCCCAUGUCCGCUUCCUCCUUUUCUGCCAUCAGCGCACCCAUUAGGAGUACGGAGUAUUAUUUUCCAGUUGUUUCAGGCGUGCUAGCUGGUUCGGAUGACCGGAGAGCGGAGAUGAUGUGUGAAGAGAGCGUCGAGGAGCUUGCCCUUGGGGAUGGGGGCGGCUGCUCCCUUCUCUUCCCAGGAACGCAUCAGCCUCCAUGGCGAAGAUUGACAAGAAGGACGUAAGUAGCUAAAGCUUACGAGGAAAUCUCCAUAUUCCCUAGCUGGAUCAAAUCUGGUUGCGUCUUGAUUGAACAAUUUUUCCGUCCCCUGCAUGAUAAGACAUGAUUGAGGGACUCAAGGAGGAUGUUAUCAAGGCUGAGCAGGUUGCAUCAAUUGAGGUAGAACCUUUAACAGCAAAAAAAAAAAACGUAUUGUGUAGCAUUGUAGGAUGUAUUUCGUUUGGUCCAGUAGCUUUGCUAACUGUCGGUGAGCAUAGUUCAUGUUUUACUCAAGAGCCUAUUACCAGCCUUGAAGGAUGUGUUUUGUUAGCCGAUUAAACGAUUAGUUUUGCUAAAAUAAAAUGAUUAUAGCUUUCAACAUCUUGCAAAGGUUAUUUUCUCAUUAACAUGCUCUUAUGUUUACUUAAUAGAGCAAUGAUAGCAAUAACACGAGAGGGUUCCCAGUUUGAUUCUAAGCAUUUAAGAGGGUUAUGACAAUUGAUGUAAGUCAUCUCUCUACCGGUGUUAGCUUUUCGAGGCUAUCUGAAGCACUCUAUCUUGCUCUAUUCAUAUCCUAUACUUCGUAUCAUAAGUUCAAUAUGCAGGAACCAAAUUUGACACUGAGGAUUUUUGUUUAACUUCGCAUGAUGAAGUACACGUUCUUAUAGAAAUACAAGUACUUUUAUGAAUCAAUUUUUGUAUGAGAGAAUUUACUGUGAUGGAGUUAGGAAAGGGGAUCUGCAGUGAAAGUGGUGAAGAAAUUCCUAAACCUGUCCUAGAGAAACAUGCUUUCACAGAAGGUGAAAUAAGCUAAUGUUGUAAUUGACAAUAAUACAAGCAAGCCAAUGCCUUUCACAAUCCCCAUUUCAAUA